AUGUCAAAGCUUUCAAGUUCAAAUGAAAAAUUCCCUCUUCAUCUGAAAAGCUCUCCUCCGACACACCGAAAUUCUCCACCGGCGGCGGAGGAGCCUAAACCACCAACUCUAAGCACCAAACUACUCGCUUUAAUGUCUUGACCCUAAAUCUAACACUCAUUUUUACUAAUUCUUCUCCUAACAUUAAAACCGUAGUGAAUUGCACACAAACCCGAUGCAGGUCACUGGAAUAUCAGGUGAAAAAAUGCAAUGGUUAAGUGCAGGUUGUUUGUGAGUUUGGUAUGUAUGCAUUUAUGCUAUGUCCAUGCCUUUGAAUGAGUGCAUCGAUAUGAGUUUACAUGGGUGCAUUGGAUACAUGUGGGCUAAUGUACAUAUUGCUUAUGAUUGAGUGCAUGUUUUCCUUGGUUUGUGCCAAGACAAGACUUUGGUUAGGCAAGACAAUAAGCAUGAGCAAGGCAUGGCCAAGUGAAGUACAAAGAAUGAGCUUCCUUGCUUAGGAAGCCAAUGUGAUGAUGGAAGCUUAUGAAAUAAUGUAAAAAUGAAGAUGUGAUGUAAUUAGUAUUGGGUUUAGGAAAAAAGAUGAUGGUUGACACUGGCCAACUGAUUGACCAAAAAAAUCAACAGUUGACCAAAAGUCAACAUUUGUAAAAAUAUAAAUUUUCUUUA